CAGUUGAGAACAGUGGGUUCUAGAAGGGGGGCACCUGGUGGGAGACCUAAAGCUGGGCUGGGCUUAGGAUCAGUAGUCCAGUCGACAUCACCAUGGGCACGUAGGCAAGAGGGGCUCUGCCAGCUGCCUGGGAACAGAAUUCCCUCCAUUUAGGUGAGCCACAGAGCCAGGGCUUAGCUUCUUGUAUGGAUGCCCAGAUGCCUUGCACCACCCCCUCCAAGCACCUGAGAAGCAGCUUUACAAACUGUUUCCCCAGACAUUUCCCAUUUGUAACCUCUUCCUCUGUUUUUCUUUUCUUUUCUGCCUCCCAGAAAAGUAGACAAACUAAGGCCCAGGGGCCGGAUGCGGCCCAUUCACCUUCUAAAUCUGGCCCGCGGAUGGUCUGGGAAUCUGUGUGUUUUUACAUGAGUAGAAUGUGUCCUUUUAUUUCAAAUGCAUCUCUGGGUUAUUUGUGGGGCCUGCCUGGUGUUUUUACAUGAGUAGAAUGUGUCCUUUUAUUUCAAAUGCAUCUCAGGGUUAUUUGUGGGGCAUAGGAAUUCAUUCAUUUUCUCUCUCUCCAAAAUAUAGUCCGGCCAUACACAAAGUCUGAGGGACAGUGGACUGGCCCCCUGUUGAAAAAGUUUGCUGACCCCUGUCCUAGGACAAGCAGGCCACAUAGGCAGCUGUGGAUAGCGAAAGAAGGCGAGACCGCAAUGAAAGUUGUGGUAUGUUAAUUCCAUGGGGAAUCCAUUCCCCACAUGUGCCAGGAGGUUGUGGUGCCAACCUGAGCAAAACAGGGCUGGGGUAGGGUGGGGAGAAAAUAAUUGGGGGAGGGCCCAUGGGAACCCAUCCCCUAGAGUGGAUGCUUAUGCCAGGAGAAUACAAUGUCCUUCUUCUUUCCUACGGCCAUGGUUUGGGAGAGCAGCUUAAGUCUCCAGCCAAGCAACAGCAGCAGCAGCCCAGCAGUACCAGGUGGAAACCCAGCAUUUGCAGCUAUGCUGUGGCUUUCUGUGGCUCUCCCAUUGCUGGGGGUGGGGAUUGCCAUUUCUUCAUGCCAGCAAUGGAACAGCUACUUCUCUUUCCCCUGGCUAUUGCCUUGGGGAACAGACCCCCCACCCCCCAGGAGCUGCCUCCAUGGCUAUGGCUUCAGACCUGCGGGAAUCAAUACCAGCCUACUAGUCCAAACCUAAAUAUUUGGGGAAAUAGUUUUCCAUGUUUGGGCUUCAAUUUAAGCAUAUAGCUGUCCAGGACCUCCUAGAUCUCAAACAAGGGCACGUUGCGCUUAUUCUUGCCAUCUUCUUCUUCUCUUCUUUAGAAAUGCUGCCCCCAAAACAUUAACACCAGAGCCAGGUUGAGAAAUCUUACGAAAUCCCCAAAGUUGACAGAAAUAUAAUGCCUUUCAGGUUCUUUCUUUGCCUUCUUAGUCCAUAUUUCUUCUAAUUUCUGCAUCCCAUGAAAACAUCCUUCCUGAGAUUCCAGCCAACACCAACCGGUGGUCUCAGUUACUCUAAUGAACCUUAGAAUAAAAUAGAUGCAUAUAUUUAUCUGGAAGUCCUCCAACCAAUCAAACUAACUGAGCUUGUUUCUUUCUUAGGAGAGAGGCACACCAGAACAAAGGGGGAAAGGCUCACAGUUCAGGUAGGUGGAAAUGCCAAUUGAGUGCCCAAUAUUAUAGGAAUGUUCCCUUCCCGUGUCCCCAACCCUCAUGCGACAGACUGGUGCUAGCAUGGCUGGGAGCCAGGCGCCUGCUGAUGUCUCUGUUUUCUUUGUCGCGAGGAAGCCUUUCCCCAACAUCUUCUUUGUUCCUGCGAAAUCCCUAGAGAGACAUGACGACUCUCAGGUAUGGGGGCAGAGGGAAGGAAGGGGUCCCUGUGAAACACCUUUUUGGGGGGUCAUAGGAACACUCUCCUCACCUGUGGCUUCCAGGAGGUGUUUUUCAGAAGCAUUUCUUCCUCCAGCUGGGGAAACUGAGCAUAAACAUCACGGCUAAUUGCCUUGCAUAACCCUCUGCACCAUGCAAUUGUCUCACCCUCUUUGAAAGCCACCACAUCCAAGAUGCUCUUGUGGGGCAUCUGAUUCUCCUUGGCUUCCUUAUUCCUGCAAGGAGGCGGCUCUUGCGAGAUCGGCAGUGCGAUCUGGUUCACUCUCCUUGCAAUGUUCCACCUGGUUCGCAAUUGCACGUGUACAUCAUUCCUUGACAAUUACAGAAAGCCUGGAACUUUGGAGCAUCUAAUUUGUGUGCAUUUGGCUUUGUGUUCUUGGCCCAAAAAUCUAAAGAAUCAAAAUGGGGGGCAGAAAGGCAGGUGUCCGAAACUUUGGCAAUCCCACCCAGCCCUGAACUCCAUGUGUUUUGAGCCUAUGAGAUUUUGGGUGGAGGCGCGAUCUCCAGAACAUAACCCCUAUGAAAUUGGCAGGCUUCGUCUUGAGAGCAUCCACCACACCAGGCCUCUUCUACCACUUUCAUGGUCUUGGCUUCCACCAAGGAAUCCUGGGAAUUGUCAUUUGUCAAGGACCUACUAUUCCCGACAACUACCAUUCCCAGCACCCUGAACACACUACAGGAUUGCCAGGAUUCUCCAUGACUGUGAAAGUGGAGACAGAAACCUUUAAACAGCCUUUAAACAGCAGCGAGGUAACCACUGUAUAUAAAAACAUAAUAAAACAUUAAACAUUUUUUUAAAAAAACUUCCCUAUACAGGAUUGCCUUCAAAUGGCUCAGGGGUUGGAAAACUCCAUACCCUCCAACAUUUCUCCAAUGAAAAUAGGGACAUCCUAAGGAAAAGAGGGACAUUGUGGGAUCAAAUCACAAACCAUGACGGCUUCUCUAAAUCAGGGACAUCCCUGGAAAACAGGGACACUUGGAGGAUCUGUACUGAUAGGCCUAUCAUCUUCCAAAAAUUGAUCCAGUCCUCUUUUAAAGCCCCCAAAGUUGAUUGCCAUCACUACUUAUUGUGAGAGCGAAUGCUGACAGUGUGUCAGCAGCCGUGGAGAGCAAACUUGGGCCAAUGUUUACACUGUACAUUUAAAGCACUAUGAUACUACAAUUGUCAGAGUGGUUCAUCAAUCGAUCCGUGUUUCCAAGGAACGCUGGAAAUUGGAGCUCUGGGAGGGGAACAGAGGCCUCCUAACAACUCCCAGCACCCUUAACAAGGCACAGUUCCCAGAAUUCUGUAGGGGAAGCCAUGACAGUUAAAAGUAGCACCAUAGUAUGGUGUGAAUGUGGCCUCUGACUCUGUCUGUGUGUACAGAUAAGAUAGUACAACCCACCCUGGAUACCCCUGCUUUUAUUCAUUGACGGAGUCCGAUUCCCUUGUGCAUUAUCCUCACACUCUUCACUCCCAGUGCUACUGAAGCUGAGUCAUGCGUGAGGAAUGCCAGGACUUCAGUGGGAGGAGUUGGGUCUCCCUGUCCCAACAGUGUAAGAGAUUAAAGAAGCUUCUCCUGCCAAUUGCAAGGGGAAGUAAGAAGUCAGAGACGAUGCUGUGCCAGUUGGAUAGGCCUAUGUCUAUCAAUGCCAACUUCGGCAGGUGAUGGAGGAGAGAAACCUUUGUACAGCACAAAGUCCUUUUCUUAUUUCUCUCCCCUGCAAAGAACACAGAAGAAAAGGAGAACAUUACAGCUUGGGAAGAAAGGGGAAGUACAGUGAUUCUUCCCCCCCACCCUAGCAUACCCUCCAACAUGACACUGCCCCAAACCGGGACGCCAUUUUCCUGUUGUUAAAACUGUUAACGGAGAAAUCUGAGGGCUCCCUUGGACAAAAAAACAAGGACACCAGCCAGGAAUACCAGAGCAAAACAGCAGCCAGUAGGCUUGGUCUUUAUUGAAGACUGUCGCGACAGGACUCCCACCUGCCACCAGGUGAAACAAGAUGGAAGCCCAGAACAAAAGAAGACCCCAACUUUUAUUAGCUACUAAUCCCCCAAACUACACCCCUAAAACUACAUCACUACAUCAUUGAUACAUCACAAAAAGGAGGGGUUGAGGGAGGAGUUGUGGAGGUAACCUGAGUAUUCUGCCACCUGGCUGGUUCCUCCUUUCCCCCUCCCCAUGAGUACUUUCCAGAGUACUUUCCUUUAAUUCAGCUGUCCCUAGUCCAUGGACUUAUCUGGUAACAGUAGCUGGGCCUGGGAAGCUGUCUGCUACAGUAUUUGAAAUUCCCCACAAUGCUUUGGACUGCCAAGCGCAGAGGAAUUAUAAGAAAUCAUCAUUUGGCCUUGAAGAGUCCUCUCGUUAUGUCAGGGUGCUAUUAUUAUUAUUAUUAUUAUUAUUAUUA
rnacentral:lncRNA from 1 species